AGGUCCAUACUUAGUACGUCUAGCUGGGUAGAGGAACUUGUCUUUAUUAAUUAUGAAUAAAACAGGAAUCUUAAUGCCCCUCUUACAUUAGAAUCUUUCUGAUGUUAUUAUUUUUGAAAUGUGUUUCAGGAAAACCUUAUGCUUUAACAUCUUAAAUCAAAGAAGUGAUCUAUAUAAUGAGAAUUUGAGGCAUCAUAAUAAUGAGAAAAUAAUUUAUUUUUGGGUUUUUAUUAUUUUUUAAAUGCAACUAAUUAAUGAUGAUUCUUUUGGAUUGGGCGAUGUAAAAACUUCUUUAUAUAUAUCUUUUUUUUUUUUUUUUUUUUUUUUUUUUUUUUUUUUGAGACGGAGUCUCGCUCUGUUGCCAGGCUGAAGUGCAGUGGCGCAAUCUCGGCUCACUGCAACCUCUGCCUCCCGGGUUCACGCCAUUCUCCUGCUUCAGCCUCCCGAAUAGCUGGGACUACAGGAGCCCGCCACCAUGCCCGGCUAAUUUUUUGUAUUUUUAGUAGAGACGGGGUUUCACCAUGUUAGAUAGAUUCUCACUCUGUUGCCCAGGCUGGAGUGCAGUGGCACGAUCUCAGCAUCUCAGCUCACUGCUUCCUCCGCCUCCCAGGUUCAAGCGAUUCUCCUGCCUCAGCCUCUCAAGUAGCUGAGACUAGAGGCGGGCACCACCAUGCCUGGCUAAUUUUCAUAUUUUUAGCGGAGACGGGGUUUCUCCAUGUUGGCCAGGCUGGUCUUGAACUCCUGAUCUCCAGUGAGCCACCCACCUUGGCCUCCAAUGUGCUGGGAUCACCAGUGUGAGCCACCAUGCCCAGCUGAAGAUAAGUCUCUUAAAGUCUUACAGCAAUACAGGAUUAAACCAAGAAUUGAACCCGGGCAGCAGGAUCUCUGAUCCUGCGUUUCUAACCGCAACACAGAUCACCAUUCAUUGCAGAGAUGUUACAUUCACCUUGGAAAAAAGGAGAAAGGAAGAAAAAUGACACUCAGAUUAUUCACCCAAAUAAAAAUCAUAUUCACGUUUACUCUGAUCUGUUUCCUACAGUGAUUUUCUUUCCAGAACUCCAGAUCUAGACAUAGACCCCU
rnacentral:lncRNA from 1 species